GAUGAACGCUGGCGGCGUGCCUAAUACAUGCAAGUCGAGCGAAGAAUUAGCAAUAGUUCUUAGCGGCGAACGGGUGAGUAACGCGUUGGUGACCUGCCCCGAAGUGUGGGAUAACAGUUCGAAAGGAUUGCUAAUACCGCAUGUGGCCCAGAGGAUUAGAUGCCUUUGGUCUAAAGGAUUUAUUCGCUUCGGGAGGGACCUGCGUCCCAUCAGCUAGUUGGUAAGGUAACGGCCUACCAAGGCUAUGACGGGUAGGGGACCUGAGAGGGUGGCCCCCCACAAUGGAACUGAAACACGGUCCAUACACCUACGGGUGGCUG
rnacentral:rRNA from 1 species